CUUGUAGGUAGACCAGUGCUUUUUAAACUUUAAACUUUAAUGGGUAUACACAUUGCCUGCAGAUGUUAUUGAGAUGCAGGUUCUGAUUCAGCAGGUCUGGAGUUGAGUUUGAGCAUCUGUGUUUCUAACAAGCUCCAAGGGGAUGUCAACACAGCUGGUCCAGGGGAGAUGCUAGAUGCCUUCAGCUCCAUGGUGCCAGGAGAUCCCUGGUAACACUAAUGUCUCCUUCGUCAGCCAGGUGGGUGGGGUCUGAUGCACUCCAGCAUCUGUAAGCUGAACCUUACGUUCUCCGCUUCCAGAGCAGGGACCUAUGAAGCUGGAGCCAGGGCCUCAUAGGAACAAGUAUAACCAAUCCUUUAUUGACCACCCUUAGUCAUCAAGGAGUAUGGACUCUUUGAACAAACCAAAUCAAACUAUCAGGUACUGCAAAUCGUUGAUAUUGAUGAACAAUAUGAAACCAAUUGAUAGACCUCUAUUAACAAAAAACUAGAUGCUACAAUCAUAUAUCUGUUUAAACAAGUAAGAGGUAACCGAGUUUUCUGAUGUACUCCACAAACAAGGGCUUUGGGCAAGCCUCAGUUCUGUCUUUGGUAAACUGGAAGAAAUUUGAACAGGAAUGGGGCUGUGUGGAAAGGCAGAGCUCUCAGUGCCUGUGGGGCUCUGGCUCUGGUGUCAAGGAUUCUAUGACAUUGUCUGGGCCAGGCGCUUUUCUGGCUGACCUUGGUCUUGCUGAACCUCUGAGAGGCUCCUCAGCCCUGUGGUCACUCAUGGGCUCACCAGAAGCUUGGAAGCUGGAAAUGCAUUCAGAGCUGCCCUGGGCUUAGCCCUCUGGGGUGUGGAGUGAUGCUCUUUCUUUUCUUUUUUUAGUUUGAGAGGUGGGGCAUAUCCAUUAUAUAAAACCCUUAAUUAAAAAAAAUUUUUACUAUCGUAUCAUUUUUUCCUAAGAAGAACAAAUUAUUCAUUUAGUAUUUCAAACACAUGUAAGAAGGAAAUGACAGGUUUCUUCCACCCAC
rnacentral:lncRNA from 10 species